CUGAGGAACUUUCUUCAGCUUCAGAAGACACUGGAACUGCCAACUGUUCUGCUUCUUCUGACACCUUUCCUGUUUCGGAUGCCUCCUUUUCGACCUUCUUCUCAACAACUUCUUCAAGACCCUUCCUGUUCUCAUUCGAUCCAACUGCCACAUCAUCACUUUCAAUUGAAGCAUGAACAGUUGUUACGGAGCCUUGAAGAUCCUGAGUUGCUUCAUGGCCAAGGAAAGGUUCUUCAUCAACUGUUUCAGUUGUUUCCUUCUUGAUGUCCUCUGCCUCUUCAUUCGUUUCUUCUGAAUCCUCGAAUUUGUCCUGUGGGGUCUCGACAAUUUCUCCUUGUUCAACAAUUGCUUCAGUCUCUAGUUCCUCGUCCUUAGUCGACUCAUUGAUUUCCUCUACUGGUGAUGGAGUUGGUCCAACACUUUCCAGGCCUUCCCUUUCUGCAUCAGGUGAAAUCUGUAGCUUUGCAUCAGGACUUGGAUCAUCAGAUUGAAGAGUUCCUGCUUCUUUCAAAGGCUCUUGUACUUGGAUAUGAUCAGCAGCAUCAUUUCCUGGGAUCUCUUCUUUCUCUACCCGACU
rnacentral:lncRNA from 1 species